rnacentral:lncRNA from 1 species
GUGAGAGCAACGGGAACGAGAGCUUCCACGCAGAGAAUGAACCCAGCUCAGGCUCUGCGUGUUUGGCCACCUGUGCCCAGGGCUGCUCAGCCUGGUGCUGGGGCCCAGUCUGCCUGAAAUAGCCUCCCUGGGGAGCACCCCAGCUCCGCCCCGGGCCACACACUCCCUGGUCUUCACCUUCCUGGGGGCUGUCGCUCGUGCUGUGAGUGUGGUGACCCCUGAAUGGAGGGUCCAUGCUGACAGCCGUCAUCAAUGAAAACUGAAAGACAUGGUGUGGUGACUCUCAGUCUGUAACACGAGAGGGUCAACAUUCCUACCCUCCCCUACAGCCCACUGGCCUAUAUAACUGCUUCGAGAUUCUGUGCCCCCCUGAAGAUGGUUCUUUUGGACGUGAGUCUGCCAUCUGCCCUCCUGCUAGCGAGCUGUAAUAAAAUGUCCUGUCUCUGCCACCAUCUUGCCUCUUGACAACUGGCUUUUGUCUCGUGGUGAGCAUACCGUGCCCUUUGUGCGGUGAUAGAAAUAUGGCGACUGUGAAGGGGCAAUAAAUCCUGCUUGUGGCCAGCCGACCUCGGAUGGGCAACCUGUCAGGUAAGACCCUCGCGGCUGCCGAGGCUCCAUUUGUCCUGGGAACCUGCCCUUCCUGCUCUCCUGUGCGGACGCCGGCUGCCUGCUAACGCUCCCUACGGUGGAAAGAGAACCGGCUACUUCUGGUGGGUCCACGGGCUCACAUCUGGAGUAGGGACACAAUUGGAAAUAUUGGUUAUAUUACCAAAGCUUUGACCGGAAUGUCAUAUUUGAGAGACAUGUACAGACUCAGACACAACAAGAUAGCUUUUGCGAAAUAAAGGUUGACUUUCUAGAAUAAAGCCACUUAGAAAUAUUGGGCUGCUACCUUGUUUACAGGGUUCCCAGCAACCCGG